rnacentral:rRNA from 1 species
UACGUAGGGUGCAAGCGUUGUCCGGAUUUACUGGGCGUAAAGAGCGCGUAGGCGGCUCGUUAAGUGUGAAGCUAAAUCUCUUGGCUCAACCAAGAAAUCAUUUCGCAUACUGGCGGGCUGGAGUGAUGCAGAGGUGGAUAGAAUUCCCGGUGUAGCGGUGAAAUGCGUUGAUAUCGGGAGGAAUACCCGUGGCGAAGGCGGUCCACUGGGCAUCAACUGACGCUGAGGCACGAAAGCUAGGGGGAGCAAACAGG